rnacentral:rRNA from 1 species
AUGGCGCCCUACAAGCCACGGGCCGGGGUUCCAUCUAGUGCCCUCUCUCUGUCUGUCUCCGUCAUAAAAUCCACAAUGAAUACGUUAUCCCCCACCAUUCUUGCUCUUAGCCCUUUUGGAUUUCCCCAAGCUGGGGUGGAGGAGGCGGUGCUGGGCUUCGUCGCCGGCAAGCGCAAGGCCACCGAGGUAGCCCACGCGGUGUGGAGAAGUAUCGUUCAGAAAGGAGAUUCAGUGGUCGAUGCCACCGGCGGGAAUGGCAACGACACGCUGGCUCUGCUUAAGAUGGUGGCUGAUGAGAGCAGGCGAGGGCGUGUCUAUGGAUUGGACAUCCAAGAUUCCGCGAUAGACAGCACUUCCUAUUUUCUGAAAAUGGCCGUCGACAGCCAUGAGAGGGAGCUAGUCAAAUUGUUUUGCAUACGUCACAGUAGAAUGGAGGAUAUCAUUCCAAAAGAUUCUCCUGUGAGGCUUGUAGCAUUCAAUCUGGGCUACCUUCCAGGAGGAGAUAAACAAAUAAUCACAGUACCUGAGACAACUGAGCUGGCACUACAAGCUGCCAGCAGAAUUGUUGGCUCAGGGGGACUCAUAAGUGUCCUUGUCUACAUUGGGCAUCUGGGUGGAAGGGACGAACUCGAUAUUGUUGAAUCAUUUGCCUCAAGGUUGCCUGUUGAUACGUGGGUGAGCUGCAAGUUUGAAAUGAUUAACAGGCCAGUUGCUCCAGUACAUGUUCUCCUGCACAAGAAAUGA